rnacentral:sRNA from 1 species
UGGCGGGUUGCGACCGCCCAAGCAGGGCCCCAGGGAGAUGGUACCUGCGGAUGCUGCAAUGUUACCGGUGCAGGCAGUGGUUCCACGAGGCCUGCACCCAGUGCCUCAAUGAGCCCAUGAUGUUUGGAGACCGGUUUUACCUGUUCUUCUGCUCCGUGUGUAACCAGGGCCCAGAGUACAUCGAGAGGCUGCCCCUGCGAUGGGUGGAUGUGGUUCACCUGGCCCUCUAUAAUCUGGGGGUACAGAGCAAGAAGAAGUACUUUGACUUUGAGGAGAUUCUGGCCUUUGUCAACCACCACUGGGAGCUCCUGCAGCUUGGCAAGCUCACCAGCACCCCAGUGACAGAUCGAGGACCACAUCUCCUCAACGCUCUGAACAGUUAUAAAAGCCGGUUCCUCUGCGGCAAGGAGAUCAAGAAGAAGAAGUGCAUCUUCCGCCUGCGCAUCCGCGUCCCACCCAACCCGCCAGGGAAGCUGCUGCCUGACAAGGGACUGCUGCCAAAUGAGAACAGCGCCUCCUCUGAGCUGCGUAAGAGAGGAAAGAGCAAGCCUGGAGUGACUUCACCUCAGCCUGGAGCACCAACCACCACCUGGCUAGCAUAUUUGACUUCACGCUGGAUGAAAUUCAAAGUUUAAAAAGUGCCAGCUCAGGCCAGACCUUCUUCUCAGAUGUUGACUCCACCGACGCUGCCAGCACCUCUGGCUCUGCCUCCACCAGCCUCUCCUAUGACUCCAGAUGGACAGUGGGCAGCCGAAAGAGGAAGCUGGCAGCCAAGGCAUACAUGCCCCUGCGGGCAAAGCGGUGGGCAGCUGAGCUGGAUGGACGCUGCCCCUCGGACAGCAGUGCAGAGGGGGCUUCAGUCCCCGAGCGGCCAGACGAAGGCAUUGACAGCCACACAUUUGAGAGCAUCAGUGAAGAUGACUCAUCCCUGUCCCACCUCAAGUCAUCUAUCACCAACUACUUUGGUGCAGCUGGGCGGUUGGCCUGUGGGGAGAAGUACCAGGUGUUGGCUCGGAGGGUCACACCUGAGGGCAAGGUUCAGUACCUGGUGGAGUGGGAAGGGACCACCCCUUACUGACUAGCCCCCGGGGG